rnacentral:rRNA from 1 species
UGGGGAAUUUUGGACAAUGGGCGAAAGCCUGAUCCAGCAAUGCCGCGUGUGUGAAGAAGGCCUUCGGGUUGUAAAGCACUUUUGUCCGGAAAGAAAUCCUUGGCUCUAAUACAGUCGGGGGAUGACGGUACCGGAAGAAUAAGCACCGGCUAACUACGUGCCAGCAGCCGCGGUAAUACGUAGGGUGCAAGCGUUAAUCGGAAUUACUGGGCGUAAAGCGUGCGCAGGCGGUUUGCUAAGACCGAUGUGAAAUCCCCGGGCUCAACCUGGGAACUGCAUUGGUGACUGGCAGGCUAGAGUAUGGCAGAGGGGGGUAGAAUUCCACGUGUAGCAGUGAAAUGCGUAGAGAUGUGGAGGAAUACCGAUGGCGAAGGCAGCCCCCUGGGCCAAUACUGACGCUCAUGCACGAAGC